CCUUGACAGUCAUCUCAAGUGACUGACAUUUGCCAAGACAAGGAGAAUCACAUG
rnacentral:sRNA from 12 species